UCUCACACAGCAGAAUGUGGCAAGCAUAUCUCACAAACACUAUCUUCAAACCAUACAGUUUUAUUUUCUAAAAAGUUAAAAAACAUUUGAGAAAAUACAUACAAUGUUAUAUGCUGCCAGUUAUAAAGGGCCACUAUCAAGUGUCUAUUUUAAGCAAAACAUUUGAUGUGUAUGCUUUAUGUUGAUUUUAAGAUGCCUAUUAUCCUUUCGUUGGAAGUCAGGUCCCUUGUGAGAUAAAACCUCAUCUUUUAGGAAUAUACAGGAUUAACUCAAUAAUAAUAUGGCAAUAAUUAGGCUAAAUAUGGGUGGCAGGCUGAUGUAAAGACAGGGAUAUCACAGUCAGGGGCAAAACAGUCUUAACACAGGGAAAUCUAACUUACUGUCAGUUGAGAUCAGUAUUUCAGUCCUCUCCAUGAGUAGCAGUCCCUUUGGCAGGGUGUCACAGAGCACCUCCUGCUCCUCCUCCUGUCUUAGUGCUCCUUGAUGUUUCUCACUCUCUUUGUCUGCCCUCCUCUCUCUUUCUGCCAUUUUCUACACUUUCUUAAGCACACUUUCCCUGUGGUGCCGCCAUCUUGGAGGUGGGGCCCAGCCCUGCCCUGAGGUGGGGCCACUGGAGCAGGCUGGAACCAGCUAUGUCCAGCCUGGGGCCGCCCCGGCCCCACCUCACAAAGGCCCUGCAGCCCUCUGGCUGACAAAAUCUUGCUACUUGAGCACUGCACAGUAUUAUUCAGAUUAUACUUUUACAUUAUUUAUAACAGUUCUGUUUGUUUCUGAACUGUUUUACAUAUAUCUCAAGGGAAGCAAUUAAAUAGCAAAACAGUGAAAAGUGCCAAACAUUUUGGAAAGCUUCUCCUCUCCCUCUUAGAAGCAGAUUGUUGCCUGCAUGCAUAGCCACAUGUACAUUAAUGACAACAACCUUUAGGUACUGCUAGAUCUAACCAGUAACAUGCAGUAACACAAAGGUUUUACUCUGUGCCUGGGAGUCUCCUCUCUUCAGCUAAUUGCUUCUGAACCACAAAGCAAAACACAAGAUUAUAUAAAGAACACGACAUGCAAUAACAUAUUUUUACUCAAACAGAAAACAUAGACAACUAGUUUUUGAGCACACAUUGCAGAAGUACUAGCAUGUUGGAGUAAACCAGCUCCUGCCUGCACAAACCAACAAAUGUGUCUUUCUCAUUCACAUGGGACUGCAGCUAAUUUGCAGGACUUGGGUGUAGUUCUAAGCUCCCAGAUCUAAGCAUGUGUGUGGCCAAACCAGGAACCUAUGUGAAACAGGGCCUCCUCAUCCUCAGGCCCUCAUUCCUCCUUCCUGUGUAGGAAGGAAAGAAAUCUGUGUGUGCAGAGUGAAGAAAUCACAUCUGGCUAAGGGGGGCACCAAGAAUGUGGCAAAUGCCUCUGGAGCUAAUUCUCCUUUUGUCAUUGCAUCUUUCACACAGUUAACCUCUAUAUCUAACAAAAAAAGCAUUUAAACAGAACAGUGUUGACUGGAACACCUCACAGGACGGAGAACCCGUGAUUUUGUUCCAAUGUCAAUCAUUUUCUUCAUUAAACGUAUUCUCUUUGUAUUUGGUUUUAGCCUCCCCAGUCAUUAGUGCCUGUUGUGCUUUUCUCUGCUAAACUGAAGUGCCUUUUG
ensembl:lncRNA